AGGAAAAAAAGUAUCAAUUUUCCAGCUGAGGAUCAAGAUGAAAAUCACUCCAAGAGAGAUUGGAUGAUAGAGAAGGUGCAGGAAUGAACAACCAAAAGCCAGAAGCAGGAAGUCGAAUAUUGUUGCAGAUCAAAAAAUAUACUUCCUUCAAAAAGAAAAAGGACUCAAUAACACCUAUAUUUUCCACUGGGAUGUUCCACUUAGCAGGAGUUAGGUACAGUAUACAUUCAGGCCAAUAACACAUUCAA